rnacentral:rRNA from 1 species
UACGUAGGGACCAAGCGUUGUUCGGAUUUACUGGGCGUAAAGGGCGCGUAGGCGGCAUAUUAAGUCAGCUGUGAAAUCUCCGAGCUUAACUCGGAACGGUCAGCUGAUACUGAUGUGCUAGAGUGCGGAAGGGGCAAUCGGAAUUCUUGGUGUAGCGGUGAAAUGCGUAGAUAUCAAGAGGAACACCUGAGGUGAAGACGGGUUGCUGGGCCGACACUGACGCUGAGUGCGCGAAAGCCAGGGGAGCAAACGGG